UUUCCAGAGAUGGAUUGGUGCCUUCGGGAACUGUGAGACAGGUGCUGCAUGGCUGUCGUCAGCUCGUGUUGUGAAAUGUUGGGUUAAGUCCCGCAACGAGCGCAACCCUUAUCCUUUGUUGCCAGCGAUUCGGUCGGGAACUCAAAGGAGACUGCCAGUGAUAAACUGGAGGAAGGUGGGGAUGACGUCAAGUCAUCAUGGCCCUUACGACCAGGGCUACACACGUGCUACAAUGGCGCAUACAAAGAGAAGCGACCUCGCGAGAGCAAGCGGACCUCAUAAAGUGCGUCGUAGUCCGGAUUGGAGUCUGCAACUCGACUCCAUGAAGUCGGAAUCGCUAGUAAUCGUGGAUCAGAAUGCCACGGUGAAUACGUUCCCGGGCCUUGUACACACCGCCCGUCACACCAUGGGAGUGGGUUGCAAAAGAAGUAGGUAGCUUAACCUUCGGGAGGGCGCUUACCACUUUGUGAUUCAUGACUGGGGUGAAGUCGUAACAAGGUAACCGUAGGGGAACCUGCGGUUGGAUCACCUCCUUACCUGAAAGAAGC
rnacentral:rRNA from 1 species